AAUUCAUCUUUUAAGCAACAUUCAAAGUCAUAAGCUUCCUUUGGAUCCUAAUUUUUAUUGUUAUAGCUUGUAGGUGGAUUUUGUAUUUCUUAGUAAAGUUUAUUGGAUUCAAAGUCAUAAGCAACAUAGGCGGGAACAGAAGAGAGAGACGUAGCCGGAGAUGAAAGCCACCGGCCGCCGCCGUCCGAAGGACUCUUUCCGCCCACCGCCACCACCACCUCCCUCCGUCGACCACCACCGCCAACUCAGCCGCGACUCUGACGCUAGUUUCGCUGGCAGCCGCCCUUCCUCCCUUGGAAUCAGCCGCUCGUCCGCCGGCGAUGCCCUCACCGACCGGUCCUACCAACUCUCCGCCAUCCGCACCAUCAACUCCUUUCUCGCCUCCCAUUCCUCUCCUCUCUCCCUCAAACCCCCUCUCCCCUCCGCCAAAGACAUUUCCGAAACCCUAAAAUUCCUCAUCUCCCAACUCGAUUUCCCCACAACCAAACUUGAAGACGAUCUUCCUAUCCUCCUCAAGCACCUCAAUUGCCCGAUCAAGCUCAACAAGUCCGCUCUCAAAGCCCCCGGAACCCCACAUGCUUGGCCUUCCCUUUUAGGCGUAAUGCAUUGGUUGGUCCAGAUCGCAUUGUAUAAUGACCAUCUUGUGUCGAAUUUGCAGUGUUUUGACAAUACUUUUGUGUAUGCAUUGGAUAGUUACUUGCAUUAUAUUCGCGGGGAUGAUGAUGGGAUGGAGGCGGUGGAUAGGGAGUUUAUGGGGAAGUUGGAAAGGGAGAGGGAUGCAGUGGCGGAAGGUGUGAAGGCAUUGGAGAAGGAGGUGGCAGAGAGGGAGGGGAGGUUGGAGGAAUUGAGGUUGGGGCCUUCGGCUAAGGAGGUUGUGGAGAAGGAGAGGGGGGUGUUGGAGGAGGAUGUGAAGAAAUUUCAUGCAAUAAUUGCAGAAUUUUCAGGAAGGAUUGCAUCAGUGGAGAAGAUUUUGGAGGAGAAGGAGAAGGAGUUGGGGGUGAAGGUUGAGGAGAAUAAUAGAAUUUGCGAGGAGAAUGAAGAGCUGAAGAAGAGGGUUGAGUUGCAGACGUUUAAUGCAAGAGAUGCAGAGAGGAUGAAGAGGGAGUUGCAGGCAGUUGAGAGAGAUAUCACGGAGGCUGAGGUUGCAAGGAAUGGUUGGGAGGAGAAGUCUUGGGAUCUUGACACGACAAUUGGGCACAAGUUUAAGGAGCUUGAAGCUCUUUCAAUUGAAUGCAACCAAGCUCUCAGGAGGUUAAAGUUAGGAAAUGGUUUGCAGUAUGUGUUGAAUGCCAAAGGGUCUUCACCUGCUGAGGUUUUGGGAAUUGAUUACAAAUCAACGCUUAAGCCUGCACUUGACUCCUUUGCUGAUGACAUAAAUAAAAGCUCUAUGUCAAAGUUGGAAGAGUUGAUUUCUCUUCAGCAACAAUCAGUUGAAAAUGCUGCUAAAAUUGAAGCAAAAAGAAAUCGUCUUGCUGCACUUCAAUCCAGUAGUGAUGAAGUGGAAGCUCAAUUAAUUUUUUUGAAGAAGGAAUCGCAAAACUACACCUCCAGAUGUGCAACGGAAGCUAAGAAGUUAGUGGAGGAUGUUGAGAUAGAAACCCAUAAUGUAGAUAUUGUGGAAAGAGAAGUGGCAGAUGUUCUGGAGACUGCACUUGAUAAGGGUAAGAACUUGGAGCAAAUGGUAGAUGGAGUGCUUUCUGCUGAAGAUGUGAAUCAUGGAUCAGAAUUUGUCGAGUCAGUGGCAUCUCAGAUGAAUGAGCUAACAGUUACUCCUCCUUCAGAGUCAAUAGAGUGUCUAAAUCCAGGGGGAGCUGCUCCUGAUAUUGAUAAAAGAAUCCGAGCAUUAAAAAAGAAGAUUCAGCUCACAGAAGCCCAACAGCAGAAAGCAUCACAACAAGAAAUGAACCCAGAGCAAUUGGACAAGAUGAUGAAACUGGAAGGUUGGUGAAAGGAGCUAAAGCUUUUGGAGGACCAAAAGGCAGAACUGGCAGCAUCAUGAGUUGAGGGGACCAUAUGCAAGUCUUUGCACUCACACCCAACCCAAGUGUGAUGGACGCUUUUUUGCUGUGAAGGAGGUUUUGUUGACUGAUCAAGGACGGGCUGGGCCGGGCAGCAAAGCAUUGAUCAACUUCAACAGGUUAGAAGGAUGAAAUGUGCUGAUUGUGUAUUAGUUCAAUUCUUCCUUAAAUCUGUUUUCCAUACAUCUUGAUUAACCUCUAAGUAAUUGCAUACUCAGAUUAUGCAGUCAAAAGCAAUUUCAUAUUGAUCCAGGCUGCAUACUAGAGGGUUCUUUCCUAAUUUCUUUUAUAAUGGUUCAGGAGAUCUCUCUUUUGAGUCAGUUCCAACAUAAGCACAUAGUUCAGUAUUAUGGCUCGUUCAAGGUAUUUUUCAAUUCUUUCUUGUUGGAUUGGGUUCAUGUUAUGUACCAUUCUUGGAAUUAGGGCUACCAUUUGCAAUUUUGCAUUUUGUCAACUGUGGCAAUCUUAGAUUUUUUUUUUUCUCUUUUAUUUUGUGUUUAUUCAUGAAAUCCUGUCAAUUUCAUACCUGAAUAAAGGGGAGAAUUUGUCUAUAUAUAUAUAAAAUAAAAUAAAAUAAAAAAAUAAAAAACCUACAUAUUGCUGCAAGCAAGACACAAAUUUAGGAACUUUAUCUGGGUCUUGUAGAGUUGUUGCAUGAGUCCUCUGGCAUCUUCGUACCUCAGAGUACUUAAUCACAAAAUUUUAUUUCAGAGGCUAUAGAAGGAUUGCCCUGACUGGAUGACUCUUAAAGUGACAUGUUCUGUUUUAGCUGCUUGAUGAGAACUAAACCUUGGACUAAAAUUCAUGAGGGGGUCUCUUGAGCUUCCCAUCUGUUAUUUUUCAAGUUCACUUUUUCCUCUAAAGAAUCAUUUUUUAAUCUCUCAUCUACUUAUCGUAUCAGCUAUUUUAUCAUGGUAUUUGGCCUUAUUGUUGUUUCAAGCUAUGUUCUUGUCUUGUAGGUCUGCUUCUGAAUGCAUGUUUCUAAACAUUCAUGCAUCAUAGGCAUCUUUUAUUUCCCUUGCAGGCUGUCUAAUUGACAGUCUAAAUACUCAGUAGUUACAUUUUUCUGUUCUUUGGGGUGAAUUAGUAUUUUUCAUGUUUUUGUUGUUGUCUGUUCCUUUAUGAUCUGGUUCUGGUACUGCAUCAAGAGGAUUGGAGUUCAUGUCAUUUUUUUUCUUGCUUACUCACAAAAUGUCUUGCCAUUCCAGGACAAGACCAAACUUUAUAUCUUUCUUGAGCUUGCAACUGAAGGUUCACUUUUAAAUCUCUAUCAAGAGCAUAAACUGUCAGACUCCCAAGCCUCUAAAUACACCAGGCAGAUUGUGAAAGGUUUGAAAUAUCUACAUGAGCAUAAUGUAGUUCACAGGUGAUUCAAAUGAUCUUACUACUACAUUUUUUGGUUAUAUUGCUUGUGCUUUAUUUGUUUAUACCUUGCUCUAUCGACAUGCCAUUACUGCUUGAAACAUGUGCUGAUUAUUUCAAUUAUCUGCCUUUGCUACCAAGAGAAUUGCAUAUGCAUAAACUAAAUGGCCUUCUUACUCAGGGAAAAUUGGUUCACUCUGCUGAGAAAGUUCUUCAGUUUUUAUUUUAUUAAUUUAUUUUUGUUUUUAUCUUCUUGAAACAUUCAAUAUUAUUUGGAUUGCACCAGUUAGCCCACUUACUGAAUUCUGUGAUUACAGACUGCUUGGUGAAGUGAAAAGUUCAACACUCCCACCUGCCCUCUUCCAGGAAAAGAAAAAUGGAAAAACCAAAAACAAAAAGAAGAGUUAGGAGCAUGGAUGUUAAACAUGGUCAUUAUCUGAUAACUAAGAUGAGCCUACCCAAAGCCUUGGUGUAGAUAUAGAUAUCCCCAAUUUUCUGUGUACCUUACAUUGUGUCUUCACAUGUGGGGUUUACGUUGUUUGUUUUGAGAUUAUUGUGUAUCUUAAUAGUUUAAUCCUUUCAUAAAACUCCAUGUCAAUUAUAAUAUGAGGUGUGGUCCAGUUAUCAAAUAACAACCUCAUAUCUGCAUCAACUAUAAAGAACUCCAUUUCCAUUUGACUUCAUGCAAUUAGCUGUAUUAUAUAUCACUUUGUAUAUUCUGCCUCAGUGCUUGAUCUUGCUAUAAUAUCCUCUUUUUUUUUUUAAUUUGUAAGUCAAAAUUUUCUUUAAAAGCAACAUAUAAGAAAAAAUACAUAAUAAUGAUUCAAACUCUCUCUAUCUCUCUGAUUCACUUGAUUUGAGUGUCUCUUCAAGAGAGUUUUUGGGUCAUGAUUACAGAAUGGAAACCUGAAAAUUGAAAGAAUCCUAAUGCAAAAGCCAUUUACAAUGCUACAAACUCUCUCUCUCUCUCUCUCUCAUGUGAUUGAGAUAACUAGCAAGGCUAGAACCAUGGAGGGAUGUGAUCAUGGGACUCAGAAGUGCCACCAGUAGGUCAUAAGGGAAAUUAGGCUUAUUGAUUUGGUCAUGCGCAACAAAGGCCAAUAAUUGCAUUGUUAAGAAGAGAUGGGUGGACAUUGGGAAUCAAUUGAGGUUACUUCAGGAAAUUAGACAUUUGGAAUGACAGUUGAAGCCACAAUGCUGUACAUUUACUUACACAUAAAUUGUUUAUGUUGUAAUACUAAUUGGUUCUGUAUCAUCUUUGAGGGAUAUCUGGUGGAUGUAAAUGGAACCGUGAAACUUGUGGAUUUUGGAUUGGCAAAGCUUUGCAAAUUGAAAGACAAUCUUUUAAAGGGACUGCAUUCUGGAUGGCCCCUGAGCAGGUGGUUGCGUCAGAAAAGGAAAUCACAUGAUUGAAUUGGGUUAUUGAAUAGCCCCGACUAUUGGACUGGAGCUAUGCCAACUAACAAAUUGAUAAGUUGUUUUCCGAACUGUUGCUCUUUCUAAGAUUUUAUCCUACAAGGCAUUUAGUCUUACCAAUGCAUUUUGAUUUAGCAUCAGUCAUUAGUAUCUUUCUGUACAACUGCCAAUAUACUGACACUAAUAGAUGCAUGGAACCACUGAAUGCUCAAUUGAUGAGGAUUUUCCAUUCAAAUCUGAGAAUUUAAGCAUCAAGCAUCAACAAAAUAUGGUCACCAGCAAUCUAAAUUUUAGCUCGAUAUUGCCCUUCUGAAAUAAAUUUCUGACUCUUUGCCCCUGAGAAUGUAUUGUGGUUUUGCAACCGCCCAGAUCUGUGGAUUUGAAUCAGUUUUUAGUUUCAAAUCAUGCUCAAACACCCUAGUCUUACAACUGUGUUUAUUUAUAAAUCCUGCACCAGUUGGGAGUAGAACUCUUAAAUCCCUGUUCUAAAUCAUGUCCAAAACAUGUUAUAAGUAUUUGUGUUAACCAUAUUUGAAAAUUUUUUUAUGUGGCACAGGAUGCUCCAAGCAUUACAGUUUCUUGUAAGUGUUGAUUUUACAAAUAAUUUGUGCCACUGUAGGUCAUUAAUGAGGACAAACGAGAGAACGAUGGUUAUGGGUUUGCAGCUGAUACAUGGAGCCUCGGCAACAUCCAUAUCCCGAAUUGGAGCCGGUAUGUAUAAACUUCAAUGGAAACAAAUAAUCAUUCCAACAUUACAUUCUUAUAUGCAUCCAAACAUAAGAAUUGGAAUCACCAAAUCUAUUUCUAUUCAAGAAGAUAUAGGAAUGAAAACAAAGUUUUUAUUUUCAUUCCUCAUUCCCAUAUACCAAACAUGGCUUCAGGGCAAUGGUAUGUUUACUUAUCUUAAAUAUUUAGUAUUAGCAACUUGCCC